rnacentral:rRNA from 1 species
UAGGGAAUCUUCCGCAAUGGGCGAAAGCCUGACGGAGCAACGCCGCGUGAGUGAUGAAGGUCUUCGGAUCGUAAAACUCUGUUAUUAGGGAAGAACAAAUGUGUAAGUAACUAUGCACGUCUUGACGGUACCUAAUCAGAAAGCCACGGCUAACUACGUGCCAGCAGCCGCGGUAAUACGUAGGUGGCAAGCGUUAUCCGGAAUUAUUGGGCGUAAAGCGCGCGUAGGCGGUUUUUUAAGUCUGAUGUGAAAGCCCACGGCUCAACCGUGGAGGGUCAUUGGAAACUGGAAAACUUGAGUGCAGAAGAGGAAAGUGGAAUUCCAUGUGAAGCGGUGAAAUGCGCAGAGAUAUGGAGGAACACCAGUGGCGAAGGCGAAUUUCUGGUCUGUAACUGACGCUGAUGUGCGAAAGCGUGGGGAUCAAACAGG